UCCCUUGUGGCUCAGCUGGUAAAGAAUCCACCUUUAAUGUGGGAGACCUGGGUUUGACCCCUGGCUUGGGAA
rfam:Ovis aries breed Texel chromosome 2, whole genome shotgun sequence.